rnacentral:lncRNA from 1 species
GACACAGCAUUCACUUUCAGUAAGUCUAGAAGUAUUAGAGUAAUAAUAGGGUACUAAUAAAAUUCAAAUUUUAUCAUGGAAUGUCUAGGGACAGAUGUGAAAAGAGGAUUAGCAUUAUUCCCUUGUUUCUUCCUGCAUAAAAGGGGAAGGCAGUGCCACCUGCUAAAUACUGUGAGUAAUGAAUUACAGCUGUGACUCCAGGGGCAGUUGUGUCAACUGAGCUUUUCGUCCAUGCUGGUGACCUUUGUUUCCUUACUGAUCAUAGACUGACAGGGGUGAAUUACUGUCCUUACGUCCCCUCAGAUUAGGGGUCUUGUCCUCUUUGUCUCUGUAGCCUAAGAGUUCAAAGGUUUAGCAAGCAACAGUUGCUUACCUGCCUGUGGUGUGAGAGAUUGAGAGUUCCUGCCUUCCUUUCUCCUGCACCUUCUGGCCUGAGUAACUCAGUGUCUUGACACCAAAACGACUCAGGUAUGGCCUCCUUUUCUCUUUGUUUAGUUGUCUGUUUUGAUGCCAAGAUAAACUUUGAUGACAAUGCUGAAUUCCGACAAAAGGACAUAUUUGCUAUGGACGACAAGUCAGAGAAUGAACCCAUUGAAAAUGAAGCUGCCAGAUAUGAUCUCAAAUAUAUAGGUCUAGACGGGAACAUCGCCUGCUUUGUGAAUGGUGCUGGAUUGGCCAUGGCUACUUGUGACAUCAUUUUCCUGAAUGGAGGGAAGCCAGCUAACUUCUUGGACCUCGGAGGUGGUGUAAAGGAGUCCCAAGUCUAUCAAGCAUUCAAACUGCUCACAUCUGAUCCCAAG